GAAGGGGCGUUGACCCGAGCUCUGUCUCUCUCUCUCCGCUGCUCCAGCCUAGCUCCGUCGCAAUUCCAGCCGUCGUCGACCACAAGCCGCCGCCUCACCAGUCUAAAAUGGAUCAUCUCCACCCUUAUUUCCAAACCCGACCCUCAAAUCCGAAUGGCAUCCACACAAGGAAGAGAUCGAAGCGGAAGAACACAACUGUGUUCAUCGGAAUCCGAAUAAUUCCGGCAAGCUCAGGCAGCGAUGCGACCCUCUAAGGCCAUGUUUUCCGGUAAGUGGCUGCAGCUGAAGCCGAUGAGGCUUCCCGGUGACUCUCGUCUCCUUCCCGACGACCUGUUGACCAUCAAGAGGCCAAGGCGAACGUGUGUGGAGAUUUGAGGUGUUGCUGCUGCUGUGUCGAGCAAAACCCGAACCCUGUUUCUGACGAGAAGCUGCUGCCGGCAAGGAGGAGCUGUUGGACUCGUAAUUAGGGGGUAGAUUGAAGGUAAUCUUCGUGUUUUAGCUGCUGUGAAGUUCUGUGUUGUUGGUUGUUGAGGUGUUGAUCCGGUUGUUUUGGUUGUUGUUGUCGAGAAUUGGGUGUUUUUGAGAAUGCAGGGAGACUAUGACGAAAUUCCGGCAAGGGAUUCCGGCGAAGCAGCAGAUCCGGUAGAGAGCCGAGAAGGUAGUUCUUGAGGUUAUUCUUUCUAAUUCAAGUUGUAGUUUCCGGUUUAGUAAAAUCUGCCAUGUUAGGAAAGUUUCUAUUUAGGGAGACUUUCCCUUUAUGGAAACCCAUUUUUAGGUGUCCUUAGUGAUUUAUGGUGAGAAGUUGUGUAG